AUUGAACGCUGGCGGCAGGCCUAACACAUGCAAGUCGAACGAGUGGCGGACGGGUGAGUAAUGUCUGGGAAACUGCCUGAUGGAGGGGGAUAACUACUGGAAACGGUAGCUAAUACCGCAUACCAUCGGAUGUGCCCAGAUGGGAUUAGCUAGUAGGUGGGGUAAAGGCUCACCUAGGCGACGAUCCCUAGCUGGUCUGAGAGGAUGACCAGCCAAAGUGGAACGAAUACACGGUGCAGACUACGACGGGAGGCAGCAGUGGGGAAUAUUGCACAAUGGGCGCAAGCCGGAUGCAGCGAUGGCGCGUGGAUGAAGAAGGCCUUCGGUUUGUAAAGUACUUUCAGCGGGGAGGCGUUGCCCGCAGGAUAAGCACCGGCUAACUCCGUGCCGGCAGCCGCGGUGAGUC
rnacentral:rRNA from 1 species